CUGAUAAUGUAGGAAGGUUCUUUCUGUCUUGAUCAUGUUGGAAGGUUCUUUCUGUCCUGAUAAUGUUGGAAGGUUCUUUCUGUCCUGAUAAUGUAGGAAGGUUCUUUCUGUCUUGAUCAUGUAUGAAGGUUUCUCUUUCUUGAUAAUUUAUGAAGGUUUCUCUUUCUUGAUAAUGUAGGAAGAUUUCUCUGUCCUGAUAAUGUAGGAAGAUUUCUCUGCCCUGAUCAUGUAGGAAGGUUUCUCUGCCUUGAUAAUGUAUGAAGGUUUCUCUUUCUUGAUAAUGUAGGAAGAUUUCUCUGUCCUGAUAAUGUAGGAAGGUUUCUCUGCCUUGAUAAUGUAUGAAGGUUUCUCUUUCUUGAUAAUGUAGGAAUAUUUCUCUGUCCUGAUAAUGUAGGAAGGUUUCUCUUUCUUGAUAUUGUAUGAAGGUUUCUCUGUCCUGAUAAUUUCAAGAUUUCUCUGUCCUGAUAAUGUAGGAAGAUUUCUCUGUCCUGAUAAUGUAGAAAUGUUUCCCGGGCCUGAUAAUGUAGGAAGGUUUCUUGAAGUCUUUCGUAGUGUGGCUAUUUCUCCUCAGAUGAUCAUGUUGAAUGCCUGUGGUAUGGAAUAUUAUGGAGAACAUUUUAGGGUAGAGAUAACAUCAAUACCACAAACACAUAGUACAUUAAAUUUAUGGGAAAAUUGCCAGUGCCACUAUUGCUACAGUAUAAUUUUCCAUAUGUAAUAUAAUGUAUCUAAGGAUGCUUAAUAUACAGUUCAUAAUUCAUGGAAUAGUUAUCAUACCCAGCACACCCCUAACUACAGUAACUACAGUGUGUUCCCUCUAUUUAGGACCCAGUUGUCGCCUCAGCCUUUGCGCAGAUAUGCAGUGUGUGUGGGUGUGUGUGUGUGACAGUCCCCUCCCACAGUGGAAUGUGUAUUAUUAGCCC
rnacentral:lncRNA from 1 species